AACGUAGGAGACAAACGUUAUCCGGAGUUACUGGGCGUAAAGGGCGUGUAGGUGGUUACGUAAGUCUGGCGUGAAAUUUCUCGGCUUAACCGAGGCAGGUCGUCGGAUACUGCGAGACUAGAGGACGGUAGAGGCGUGUGGAAUUCCGGGUGUAGUGGUGAAAUGCGUAGAGAUCCGGAGGAACACCAGUGGCGAAGGCGACACGCUGGGCCGUACCUGACACUGAGGCGCGAUAGCAUGGGGAGCAAACAGG
rnacentral:rRNA from 2 species